UUAAUGUUGUUAAAUAGUCUAAAUACAUGUUCCUUUUUGUUACGGAAAGAUAAAUUCAAAACGAAGAAACAAAAGAAGCAGAAUUUUAUUCAGUAUAUCCGAGACUUCGAAUUUUAUUUGCUUAUAUACUAGACACUUUUUUUAUAAAAAAGAUUCUAAUCACAAAUACUUUUUAAUAAUAUGCAUUUGUUUUUAUUUUUAAUAAAAGUACUAACAUUGAGUGAUUAUACAUCUAAUGUGAAAACUAGACAUAAUUUAGCAACUAAAUUGUCUAAUUUUGUUAGAAAAGGUAAAGAUUUUGUUUUGUCGGAGGUACCCACAAAAAGAUAAGUAAUUUAACAGGGAAUUCUUCUAAAGGAAAGAAAAGAAACAGAGUUUGAAUGUAGAAAACAUAAUUUUGUUACAAAAGAACUAAGCAGAGAACUUGCUAAACUGGUGACAGCUCAAUGGUUCAAAGCAAAUAAUCAGGCUAAACCACCAGUUACAAUUUGGGAAAAACUCGCGGAGAGGCUAUGGAUUAAAAUAUCCAGGUUUUUGAAAAACAAAAAACCAAAGAAGCAACUAAUAAAAUAAUUAAUGAUCUCAAUAGUCUUUGAUAUCAUAGCAUGUACUCAUACAAUCAAUAUAUGCACAGAGGCAGCAUAAUUUUGCAAGGAUUCCAAAAACUGCAAGAUAAAUACACAUGUUUAUUGUUAAUGCCCUCUAUUACAAAAAAGUUCCUGUACUAGAUCUUCUUUGGCUUCGCAAUCAGAGGCUUGAAAAGAAAGAGAUUUCUACUAUGCAAAUUGAUUUAUGUGAUUAUAAAGAAUUAAUUGGCUACAGAGUAGAGAAAAAAGAAAAAACAUUCAGGGAGCUGAAAGAAAAAGGAAAAAAAAAGAAAA